rnacentral:rRNA from 1 species
AACGAACGCUGGCGGCAGGCUUAACACAUGCAAGUCGAGCGCCCCGCAAGGGGAGCGGCAGACGGGUGAGUAACGCGUGGGGAUCUACCGUGCCCUACGGAAUAGCUCCGGGAAACUGGAAUUAAUACCGUAUACGCCCUACGGGGGAAAGAUUUAUCGGGGUAUGAUGAGCCCGCGUUGGAUUAGCUAGUUGGUGGGGUGAAGGCCUACCAAGGCGACGAUCCAUAGCUGGUCUGAGAGGAUGAUCAGCCACAUUGGGACUGAGACACGGCCCAAACUCCUACGGGAGGCAGCAGUGGGGAAUAUUGGACAAUGGGCGCAAGCCUGAUCCAGCCAUGCCGCGUGAGUGAUGAAGGUCUUAGGAUUGUAAAGCUCUUUCACCGGUGAAGAUAAUGACGGUAACCGGAGAAGAAGCCCCGGCUAACUUCGUGCCAGCCGCCGCCGUAACAC